GCGCUGAACCUUGAGGCCUGAAAUUUCAUGCUCAGGGACUAAA
rnacentral:rRNA from 1 species